UUGGGGAAUUUUUCGCAAUGGGCGCAAGCCUGACGGAGCAAUACCGCGUGAGGGAGGAAGGCCUUUGGGUUGUAAACCUCUUUUGUCAGGGAAGAAAANUUGACGGUACCUGAAGAAAAAGCAUCGGCUAACUCCGUGCCAGCAGCCGCGGUAAUACGGAGGAUGCAAGCGUUAUCCGGAAUCAUUGGGCGUAAAGGGUCCGCAGGUGGCUAUUCAAGUCUGCUGUCAAAGACCGGGGCUCAACUCCGGGAAGGCAGUGGAAACUGGGUGGCUAGAGUACGGUAGGGGUAGAGGGAAUUCCCAGUGUAGCGGUGAAAUGCGUAGAUAUUGGGAAGAACACCGGUGGCGAAAGCGCUCUACUAGGCCGAA
rnacentral:rRNA from 1 species